AACUAUAACCUUAUAUCGGUGUGCUUUUGCAUCGAUCCUGGACGCUUACACUUUUUUUGAUUGAAUGUGCACAGGCACUCGGGUUGUUGACUCUAUCUGCCAUGCUUAAUAGUGAAAGACCUAAUCACCUUCGAGUUUUCUUCUUCUUCUUCUCACUAUAUUUGGUGGCAGUCAGUCAAGGUUUGCAAAAACCCGGUAUCAUGGCUUUCGGGGCCGACCAGUUUGACGAACAAGAUGCCGAAGAAAGAAGAGGCCGAAGCUCGUUUUUCAAUUGGAUCUAUUUUAGUUCAGUUGCAGGUCCUUUCACUGCAGUUUUGGUCUUGAAUUACGUUCAAGAUAACGUUAGUUGGAGUCUUGGAUUUGGGAUUCCAUGCAUUUCAAUGGCAGUUUCAUUGGCCAUAUUCUUGUUCGGAACUAGAUCUUAUCGAUAUACAAUCAAAGUCGAGGAGAAUCACCCACUCUGGAGGAUUAGUCGAGUGUUUGUCCAAGCAGCUAUAAAUUGGAGGACCAAAUCUUCCACCAGUGUUUACAAUGUAGAAGGGGAAGAAACAGUGCCUCAACUAUGUUCCCAACAAUUCAAGUAAGAUCUGAGUUUCUCGUGUAUGGAACGCCCCCCACCUCCAAAAAAGAGCUCAUCUAUUUUUUAUUUAGUAAUUUCAGUAUCGAUUGGUGGAUUGCGUAGAGCCUAAUUCUAAUGUUCGCUUUCCCUUCGAGCACAGAUUGACAUAGAUUCCUACAUUAUAAAUAAGAAUCUAUGUCUGAAAAAUGAGGGGAUGCGAUUCUCCUUUUUCGACUUCUUUCUUAUUAGUAGUGACAUUUCACUUCUUCAAUAUGUUAGUAUUGUUCGACUUUCCUUGCUUAAGCGUCGUGCUAUUCACUUUCGUGUAACUGGUCCACGACAGGUUUCUUAACAGAGCUUUGCUUGCACCAGAUGGUUCGCGAGAGUAUGAGGAAGCAAGCAGCAUAAGUGAAAUCGAAGAGGCAAAAACACUUUUAAGGUUGAUUCCUAUGUGGGUAACAUCUUUAGGAUAUGCUAUUGUCUUGUCUCAAACUUCGACUCUAUUUACCGAACAAGGAAUAACGAUGGACAGAUCCAUCAGUUCAAGCAUCGAUAUACCGGCUGCAUCACUGCAAUGCGUAAUCGGUUUUUCAGUUAUUCUCUUAGUUCCAAUUUAUGACUUUGUUUUCGUGCCGAUUGCUAGAAGUAUAACGGGAAGUCACUCGGGCAUAACAAAGCUGCAAAGAAUCGGAAUGGGAAUGGUUUUUUGCAUUUCUUCCAUGGUUAUUGCAGCACUCGUGGAGAGAAAAAGACUGGAAACUGCUCGGGUGUAUGGACUGGUCGACUCGCCUAAAGAAAAGGUACCUAUGAGUUUUUGGUGGUUAGUGCCUCAAUAUAUACUAUGUGGGGUGACUAAUAUUUUCACACUGGUCGGAUUGCAAGAACUAUUCUAUGAUGAGGUACCCUGCAAAUUGAAAAGUGUAGCUCUUUCAUUAUUUUUAAGUAUUUUUGGCAUUGGUGAGUUCAUGAGCAGUUUUCUCAUAUCCAUAAUCGAUAAUCUUACUCAUCGAGCCGAUGGAUAUGGUUGGUUUUCGAGUAACACGAACCGGGCACAUCUAGACUACUUCUAUUGGUUACUUGCUGGACUUAAUGCCCUGGAGCUUCUUGCAUUCUUGUACUUCUCAAAAUCUUACAACUAUAAUGGAGAUCAAGGUAUCAUUAUAUGAUUGUUAACCAUAGUCGAUUUGCAGCUAUAUGUGAAUGUAUUACUAGGUUAGAUUCAUGUCCCCUUUACACUUUUUUUCCCGAUAAACUAGUCAAUUUAUCGACGUCGAAAGCCUAUGUAUUUAUUAGAAGAUUUGUCGGAAUUUAAUAUAGAAUUUGCAUGUUCUAUUUAGGCUAGCUUAAAAAUGUUGAACUAUGUGUGAACUACUAUUUGGCUAUGUUAUUAGAACUCGGGUUGGUCCAAUUUGACACGUACGAAAAGAGAGAUUAGCAUGAAUGGCACUAAAAGGGCUAUUUAACGAUUUAGCCUCUGUUUGAGCCAUAUUUUCAAGGAAAAAAGUAGAAAAAUUUGACCCUCUUUUUCAAACACAGGUCUCAUUUAAGAGAGAUGAAGUCAAAUAUGAUGGUUGAAAUUGGUCUCCAACGAUCAAAAUUCUCAUUUUUUUUUUGUUGCUAAAAAUAUGGUUCAAACAGGGGUAUAAUAGAUUUUCUACAAAGGUUUUAGUUUUUGUACCACUUUUGUGGCUCCUGCCAAUACAAGACACAAAUGCUAUCUUUCAAUCUUGGAUUUAAUCUUUAUCUACUCAACAAUUCACUUUACUGCGAAAAAUUACGACCAAAUUUGUAUCUUCAUUGACUCACUUGUUCUUUAAAACGUGUUUUUUUUUUUUUUUCAAAUUCACUUUAAAUAACACGCUUCCAAUAAAUAAUUUUGCACAUAAAUUCAAUUUUAUUUUUCAUUUUUUUAAUUUUGAAUCACAUAUAUUCUCCAAAAAAAUUAUUAAAUUUAACUUCAAGAAAUGAAGCUCAAACAAUGACCAAAUAUAUAGGCAAUUUUAGUACAGCCGUGCUAGAGGUCCCAACUCCGGGACCAACCCAAAAACAGGGGGUUGAGGUGGCAUCACCUCAACCCUCGAUUUCAACUUCAUUUUUUUUUUCAGAUUCAAGGAUCUAGGUGUUACCACCUCGGUACCCUAGAUUUUGGUCGGUCCCUGAGUUGGGACAAGUUGCAUUUCCCAUUUUAGUAUAGUGUUACUUUACUCGUCACCUUUACGAGUGGCAUGUAAAUUUGUGUCGGAUUUUUUUGCCCCAGGCGAUAAUUUAUCAUGAGGCUCCUACACAUAAUUUUUUUACAAGCAUAUUGGCAUCAAACUUGGCCGAAUCGAAUAGUUUCUCAUAAUAAGAAAUAUUAUAUCUUUGAUACUCACUCAUCAUUUGAAUGGAUCGAGAAUCAAUUCUGUUUUCAAGAAGUAUAAUAUAAAGAUUUUAUGAAAAUUAGUGAGAUACGGGGAGCGCCUACUAUUUAUUAUCAAAAAUAUCUUAUAUUUAAAAAAAAAAUCAAAAGCAGCAAUAAAUUGAAAGACGUUAUUGGUAGAAAGGCCCCUACUUUAUUUGUACUACCAUAAAAUAUCUAUGUAAGAAAAUUGAGGAAAUUUCGUAAUAGUUAUUUUUGGGCUUUGGAAAACUUUUUGAGGCCCCAUUUCAUCUUGAGGCCCAAGGCCACCAAAUCAACGAGUCAAGAUUGUAAAUAGAUAAAGAUAUACUUUCAAAUCAAUAGAUCGGGAUGUAAAUAACUAAAUAUGUUAUUUCAAACCAACUAGUCGAUGUUAAUACUAUAAACAGCAGAUGUUUUAAUUGAAAUAAUGUGUCUGAAUGUAGUCAUUGUUUUUAUGUAUAUCUAUGAAUAUUGUUUUCAAAAGACUAUAUUGUUUUAGUGGUUAUUUUUAAUUUUUUUGCCAACUAAAAUUGUUAUACCAUACUAAAAUACGAACAUUUUCUAAAAUUAGGAUCCCAUAAUAAUUUACGUUGAACUAAUAGAUAUGGUUGAAUAGUGAUCGUUCUCAUGAGGGGACUACUAUAAUAUUUUCGACAAUUUAGCCUCCUUUUGAGAAUAAUUCAUAAAUUCGUCAUUACGGCUUUUAUUUAUAACUUAAACUUUAUCGUUUUCCAACCUUAACUAUAGGAGACUCGAACCUAAAUCAAGUCAAUGACUUGAUAAGAUGUUACCACUAGAGCUAGACUUCAAUCUCAUCAUUGAUCAUUACUUAUUGUUCAAGCAAUCGUGUAUACGUAUUGUUACGAAUAGUAUAGCCCCAAAGUUCUCUUCAAAACUAUGUCUACACAUAAAAUGAGUCGAGAUGUCUUGGUUCAACCACUUUACACUAAAAGAGGAAAUUAGGCUAGGUACGGCCUGACUUGUUCAAUUCUUGAGUCAGUUUCAGCAUUGUGCAUGAGUGAGUUGUACAGAGGAGUACUACUCAAUGUCUAUUUCUUCAGCCGAAUUUCAGAGCACUGAAAAUGUCGCCAUUGACGACACUGUCGCCGGCAUGCUUGAUUACUCCGGCCAGCCGGCCAAGAGAUCAAAAUCGGGAUACUGGCGAUCUGCCUAUUUCACUACAGGUAACUGCUUUUUCUUUUUUUGUUUCUUUUUUCUUUUGAGGCUUUUCAAGAAUGUCCAAUUUUAAGGGUUUGAGUUGUAAAGUUCCACUCAUUUGAAUCUAGUGUUAACUUGUCUAUCAUGCUCUUAAUGAAAAAAUGGAGCAAUUGAAUGUCGUUCUCAACAUUUGAUUUUUUUUUUCAAUUUUUCACGAAUUUCGAGAAAUAUUUUUUAUGAAAAGUUACAUUAAAAUAAUGUUUCUCGAUAUUUCAUAUAUAAUUCUCGACAUUUGAACACCGUUUCAUUUGUUUAGAAUGACAUUUCAUUUUGAAUAUGACAUUUCUCUACAUUUGAAAUGCAGUUCUCGACAUUUCUUAGUCAAUGAAAAACAUAGCAUUUAUUGUGAUUUGACAUGUAUGCUUUUGAAAUAAAUAUGGCUGGUUAUAUGUCAAAAUUUUAUUGGCCAAUAAUAAUUUUGCAAAAAUGUCCAUUUUUAUCUUAUUGUGGAAUUAUAAAUUGUUAAUAGGGGUAUUUUGGUCUAAAUUCUUUCAAAAUAGACAUUUUUGCAAUGGUGGACAUUUUUGCAAAUGACUAGGUGAAAAUGGACAUCCUGUGAAAUUUCCUCUUUUCUUUUUCUAUGCAUGCAUCUAUUCUUAUAAGGUUGUUAUUUACAAAAAUGGUACACAACACAACCGUGACAUAUUUGGCAGGCAGAGUUGAUAACAUUCGACAAUAUGAAGGAGAGAAAAAGAAACUAAGCCCAUGUUCGGUAGGAUUAAAAUCGAAUUUUUUAAUAGAUUUUGAUAAAAGUUGAUGAAAUUUAUGAUUAAAAAGUUGUGGAUCUCGUGAAAUAUUUAGUUAAAAUUAAUUGUUUACUUUGAAUUAGGAUUUAAAUCUAGACAUUAAUUCUUACCAAACAAGGGUUAAAAUUUGUUGGAUUAUAAUUGUGGCCUCUACACGUUGCAUGAUUCAAAUUUGUUUAACCAUCAACAUUAUCGAGUACUGUGUACCAUUUUAUGCUUAAGCUAAGUUGAAGUUAGAUUUGAAUAAAUAACUUUUUCUAUUUCUAGUUGUUCAUAUAAACUUUUAGAUAAGUUGAUUCGAAAUAAAAUGAGCCUUAAUGCUUACUAUUUAGUUAUAAUUCAUGGCUAAUUUAGGUGUUAUAAUUUUGAAGUGAAGAAACUUUCUCUAGAUCAAAUUGUUAUUUAUUAGCGAGAAUCAUCCCCCUAUGAUUCUUCAAGAAUGGUGUAACGGCUCUGGUUUUUUUUUCCUAAUGAUACUAAGUAUUAUUCAAGGAUCACCGCUUCGACGCUUUAUUUAUAUAUAUUUAUAUCUUCAGUAUGUUCAAAAUCAUGACAAGAAGUUCAAACUGAAUGACAGGUGCCACGGUGGCAGAGAAAUUUGCUUAUUUUGGAAUAAGUUCCAACAUAAUAACCUAUCUUUCGGGGCCUCUUAGGCAGCCGACGGCAAUGGCAGCUGCCGAAGUGAAUAUAUGGUCAGGCACUGGCCUUCUAAUGCCACUUUUGGGUGGUUUUGUAGCUGAUUCAUUUGUGGGUCGAUAUUGGACCAUUGUUUUUUCUUCAGUGGUCUACAUUUUGGUUAGUAUCCAAUUUAAUGUUUUCUCAAAUAUAAUCAUGGUUUAAUUGCAUUGUAUUUCAGUGCAAAAGUAAAUUUUAUAGCAUUUCUUGUCACAUAUGGUUCUAUCCAAUCUUGAAUAAAAGAAUGAUGCAAAAGGUAUAUUUACAUUUUCGGAGCUAGUUCGGAUAAGUCGUACAUAAGGAACGUCGAAGAGCAUGCUUCGUUCAAUCGAGCCCAAUACUGUGUUCCAAAUAUGCACUAAAUGUCAUGUAGACUUCAUCAUUAUGAUGUGUACCCAACUAUAACCUUAUAUCGGUGUGCUUUUGCAUCGAUCCUGGACGCUUACACUUUUUUUGAUUGAAUGUGCACAGGCACUCGGGUUGUUGACUCUAUCUGCCAUGCUUAAUAGUGAAAGACCUAAUCACCUUCGAGUUUUCUUCUUCUUCUUCUCACUAUAUUUGGUGGCAGUCAGUCAAGGUUUGCAAAAACCCGGUAUCAUGGCUUUCGGGGCCGACCAGUUUGACGAACAAGAUGCCGAAGAAAGAAGAGGCCGAAGCUCGUUUUUCAAUUGGA
rnacentral:lncRNA from 1 species